CCUCACACUGGGGGACGAACAGUUGGAAACGACUGCUAAUACCGCAUACGAUCUAACCUCGGCAUCGAGGAAAGAUGAAAGGUGGCCUCUAUGUAUAAGCUAUCACUGAAGGAGGGGAUUGCGUCUGAUUAGCUAGUUGGAGGGGUAACGGCCCACCAAGGCGAUGAUCAGUAGCCGGUCUGAGAGGAUGAACGGCCACAUUGGGACUGAGACACGGCCCAGACUCCUACGGGAGGCAGCAUG
rnacentral:rRNA from 1 species